rnacentral:rRNA from 1 species
UUGAACGCUGGCGGCAUGCUUUACACAUGCAAGUCGAACGGCAGCGGGGGCUUCGGCCUGCCGGCGAGUGGCGAACGGGUGAGUAAUGCAUCGGAACGUACCCAGUCGUGGGGGAUAACUACGCGAAAGUUACGCUAAUACCGCAUAUGCCCUGAGGGGGAAAGGGGGGGAUCGCAAGACCUCUCGCUUUCGGAGUGGCCGAUAUCGGAUUAGCUAGUUGGUGAGGUAAAGGCUCACCAAGGCGACGAUCCGUAGCUGGUCUGAGAGGACGACCAGCCACACUGGGACUGAGACACGGCCCAGACUCCUACGGGAGGCAGCAGUGGGGAAUUUUGGACAAUGGGGGCAACCCUGAUCCAGCCAUGCCGCGUGAGUGAAGAAGGCCUUCGGGUUGUAAAGCUCUUUCAGACGGAAAGAAACGGUCACGGCGAAUACCCGUGACUAAUGACGGUACCGUAAGAAGAAGCACCGGCUAACUACGU